rnacentral:misc_RNA from 1 species
UACGUAGGUGGCAAGCGUUGUCCGGAAUUAUUGGGCGUAAAGGGCGCGUAGGCGGCCGACCAAGUCGGGUGUGAAAUCCCUCGGCUCAACCGAGGAACUGCACUCGAUACUGGUCGGCUCGAGUCCGGGAGGGGAUGGUGGAAUUCCCAGUGUAGCGGUGAAAUGCGUAGAUAUUGGGAAGAACACCGGUGGCGAAGGCGACCAUCUGGACCGGUACUGACGCUGAGGCGCGAAAGCCAGGGGAGCGAAUGGG